CCUACGGGCGGCUGCAGUGAGGAAUAUUGGUCAAUGGGCGCGAGCCUGAACCAGCCAAGUCGCGUGAAGGAUGACGGUCCUAUGGAUUGUAAACUUCUUUUGUGCAGGAAUAAAGUGAGGAACGUGUUCCUUUUUGUAUGUACUGUACGAAUAAGCAUCGGCUAACUCCGUGCCAGCAGCCGCGGUAAUACGGAGGAUGCGAGCUUUAUCCGGUUUUAUGGGGGUGUAAGGGGGAUGAGGAGGGAGUGGUGAAAGUUUGCAGCUUAACUGUAAAAUUGCCAUUGAAACUGUUAGUCUUGAGUGCAAAUGAGGUAGGCGGAAUGUGUUGUGUAGCGGUGAAAUGCUUAGAUAUAACACAGAACUCCGAUUGCGAAGGCAGCUUACUGGGAUGCAACUGACGCUGAUGCACGAAAGCGUGGGUAUCAAACAGGAUUAGAUACCCUUGUAGUC
rnacentral:rRNA from 1 species